rnacentral:tRNA from 1 species
GGGGGUAUAGCUCAGUGUAAGAGUAUUUGCCUAACAUGUACAAGAUCCUGGGUUAGAUCCCCAGCAUCUCACA